UACGUAGGGUCCGAGCGUUGUCCGGAAUUACUGGGCGUAAAGAGCUCGUAGGCGGUUUGUCGCGUCGGGAGUGAAAACCUUGGGCUUAACUCAGGGCUUGCUUUCGAUACGGGCAGACUAGAGGUAUGCAGGGGAGAACGGAAUUCCUGGUGUAGCGGUGAAAUGCGCAGAUAUCAGGAGGAACACCGGUGGCGAAGGCGGUUCUCUGGGCAUGAUCUGACGCUGAGGAGCGAAAGUGUGGGGAGCGAACAGG
rnacentral:rRNA from 1 species